rnacentral:lncRNA from 1 species
UCUCCCUGUUUUUUUCUUUUGUGCUUAAGGAAGAUUGUCGCUGAGCUAACAUCUGUGCCAAUCUUCUAUUUUACGUGGGACGCUGCCGCAGCAUGGCUUGAUGAGUGGUGUAUAGGUCCAUGCUGAGAACCCAAACCCGCGAACCCUGGGCCACUGAAGCAGAGCAUGUAAACUUAACCUCUACCCGACCAGGCCAGCCCCUCACCCUCUGUUUUACCCACCUGGUCACCAGAGCCGGCUCAUCCAUCAGACACAGGAGACCCAGGGCCCGUGACACUCUGAGGGACCCACAGAAUGGCUUCAUUUUAAUGAUAUUUUGGGAGGGGGAGGAAAUCCAAGUGGGGGCUGCUUCAGGAAGGGGUUGAUCCAGGAGUCAAAGAUCCAGGAGAGGCUCCCCGCAUUGCCCCUGGCUCACUGUCUCUGCGCCUUAGUUUUCU